rnacentral:tRNA from 1 species
AGGGAUGUAGCUCAAUGGUAGAGCACUUGUCUCACAUACACUCACACUGGGUUCAAUCCCCAGUGCCCCCA